rnacentral:rRNA from 3 species
AAACGACUCUCGGCAACGGAUAUCUCGGCUCUCGCAUCGAUGAAGAACGUAGCGAAAUGCGAUACUUGGUGUGAAUUGCAGAAUCCCGCGAACCAUCGAGUCUUUGAACGCAAGUUGCGCCCCAAGCCUUUUGGCCGAGGGCACGUCUGCCUGGGUGUCAC